CUAGCAACAAAAUCGUUAAGUUGUCAACACUGCACCCCCACAGCAGUAGACGCCUACGCGGAUCCACAUCCAAGUCGCGAAACCCGCGUGACUGUCACAUUCGUUUUGGCACCGCCCAGAGGAUCCGCUCCUCCUCCGGGCAGCGCGGUGAAUUCUACUGUCCCACACUGGACUCGUGUCGGAUCCGCAGAAGUGGACGCGCCUUUACUGUAAAGGUUGAACUACAUCCUCUUGGUGUGCUCUUGCCACGCCGAGACAAGAGUCAUAUCAGUGGAGAUUUUCUUUCCUGGGACACGGUUGCGCUGAACUAUCUGAGUAAGUGUAUUGAUUUAUUGCGACAUUCACAGCAAACAUAGGCCUUUGUGUUUUUUUGCUCAUCAUGUAUAAUGAUUGUAAUGACGUUGUUUGAUAUUAGGACUUUUGUGCAACAUGCUAUUGCUAGCUGAGAGAUUAUGAUGAUAUUGUAGCCCAUUUGAUUUAAAAUGGGAUAGUCAUUUCGGCAGAAUAUGUUAUGGUAGUGUGAUAAAGACUGGUUUGGUCUGUUUUAAUGUGUCGCUGCUAUCCAUAUGUAGCUUUUGCUAUGUUAGCAGCAUGUAGCUGCUAGCUAGCAUGCUGCUAGGCGCGAUUGCAUCAUUUCGCAAGUAUUGAUAAUGCCUAUAUAUAGCUAUAUGUUUGAGUUCACGUUUGCGAUGCAAACCUAUAGCUGAUAAAUUGGCACUGGUAUUUCAGUCAAUGAAGUGGGGUCAAUAUUACAGUCAGUGAAGCACUUGUCUGCUAUGAUAGCUAGCAGGUACAAUUUUAGCAUGUUUAGUUUCUAGCUAGCUGUGCAUUAAGUUUGCAUUUUGUCAAGUUUGGUCUCAUGUGUAAUGUCUAUCUGCCAUCCUCUUUAUAAUGAAAAUCAAGCUUCGGCAUUUUAAUCACUGUUUAAGUUGGUUCAGACAACUAAUGGGUAUUGGCGCCUGUUUGAACGUCAAGAAGUACGGGCUUUUCUGCUAAUGGUUGCUACCGAACAUUACUUUGAAACCAUUCAGCAAAUACACAGUACAUAUGGAGAUUUAACAACACCGCUCAUUUUACACACCGUUUAAAAUGAGCGGCUAGUAAUGAGUGAACAUUACUAGCUAGCUAGCUACGUUUUUCAUGUUGGUUUUGAGCGGUAGGCUCCCCCACUAACCUAGAAAAUAGUUUUAAAACAGUAAAAUUAGCUAGCUAGCUAGCUAAUACGGAGGAAUACUCCAUCCAGCGGGGGGAGUCAGAGGCAGAGGGACAGUCACCGCAGCGUUAGCUAACGUUGGCUUCUUGUUUCAUUUGGGGUCUAAUAAACAGUCUAGUUUGUAGCAAUGAAACAGACAACACCACUAUUCAACAAUGUUUUUAUUAAAAUACAACAUUAGAAAUGAUAAUUUUACACACCUGAUAAACGUGUCUUUCUGAAAUGUCUCUUUUUUUAGAACAAAAAUGAAUAGAAAGACUGUGCCUGUCUCCUUAUCAACCUUAAGACGAAGGACACGUGUAGACGUUCAAAAAAGGCAUCAUCAAAUUAGGACAGACGACUGACAUGGACAGGGGCAGAUGACUGAGUUCUUUGAGGACACUGCCCCCACCCUCUUUAGCUGCACAUGCAAUGCCAGAGGUGCAAGUUGAUACUGAAGAUGACAUGGAAUUGGAGGCAGAUUUUGAUGAUCUGUACAUUACUCUGGAUAAAAAUUUGCUGAUGCCUUUUCAUCAAAUUGAAUUUCACGCAAGCGAGGACAUUUUUGUGCCAGUUGACUGGUAUGAUGACGUGAUGGUGUACUGGCCCAGCUGAACGUGUGAAACGGGCAGCUGCUAACGAGGAGAAGCAUGAGCCAAACUGGCCAAGAUAUGACGUAAAGGUCGUCAGAACUUGUGACAACUACAAAGACGCCAUCAGGCUAAUGAAUCAAUAUCAGACCGGUUACAACGCCUCUGAGCUACAGUCUGAGGCAGAGCAGGAGGGAUAGCUGCCAGAGAAAUAAGUCAGGAAGCCAAUCCAUCGUUUUGGGGACUCUGAUGAGAAUGAAGAAGAGUUUCCCCUAGGACAAUUGGAGGCAGUGGAGGCAUUUGAAAUGUUUUUAAAGGAACCGUCAAAUGGCCCAGCUCGACAGAGCGUGGUGCUGUGAGGAAAAACACAGUGACACGGUCAGCCACGGACGCAGAGGUCACCAAGCACGCAAUCAGGUGGUUCAACCUGGCAGCGGAUCGGGCAACGAGGAGACGUGUCCCGCCUCAAGCCACACAAACGGAGUAAUAGGAGAAAUAAGCAAUAGACAAUAUUUUUAUUGAACUUCUUGUCGUUCACCAGUUAUUAAUUUUCUGAUAUUUUAGCUGUGCAUUUCAUUGAAGUUUUAGCCUAAUGGAUAAAAUAUUUUAUGUCUGCACCGACCUGGGCCUAUAAAGCACUAAAUUAGGUUUUGACCACAAAAUGAAUGUAAAGCAGCUUAGCCAACGUAGGCUACUUAACAAAAACGGAAUAGAAAGAACUUGUAACUUUCCAUAAAUGUAAAUGACAAUUUUAUAUUUCCAUUAAGUAGUGAUUACUUUUGUACAGUGAAUUGAUGUCUUGACUUGAACCUUUUCUGUUAGGCCUAUUGACAAUAUUGUUAGGUUAAAAAUACAAGGCAAUGCAGAUUUAAGAUUAGGUCUAUAUUGCUGGAGCAACCUAGAC